UACGUAGGGUGCGAGCGUUAAUCGGAAUUACUGGGCGUAAAGAGCUCGUAGGCGGUUUGUCGCGUCUGCUGUGAAAACUCAGGGCUUAACCCUGAGCCUGCAGUGGGUACGGGCAGACUAGAGUGUGGUAGGGGAGAUCGGAAUUCCUGGUGUAGCGGUGGAAUGCGCAGAUAUCAGGAGGAACACCGGUGGCGAAGGCGGAUCUCUGGGCCAUAACUGACGCUGAGGAGCGAAAGCAUGGGGAGCGAACAGG
rnacentral:rRNA from 1 species